AGAGUUUGAUUCUGGCUCAGAACGAACGCUGGCGGCAGGCUUAACACAUGCAAGUUGAACGGGAUUUGAUGGUAGCUUGCUAUCAUUAAUGAGAGUAGCGCACUGGUGAGUAACACGUGGGAACAUGCCUUUUGGUGGGGGACAACAGUUGGAAACGACUGCUAAUACCGCAUAAGCCCGGAAGGGGAAAGAUUAAUUGCCGAAAGAUUGGCCCGCGGAAGAUUAGGUAGUUGGUGGGGUAAAGGCCUACCAAGCCGACGAUCUAUAGCUGGUCUGAGAGGACGAACAGCCACAUUGGAACUGAGACACGGUCCAGACUCCUACGGGAGGCAGCAGUGAGGAAUAUUGGGCAAUGGAGGCAACUCUGAACCCCCAGCCAUGCCGCGUGAGUGAAGAAGGUUUUCGAAUUGUAAAGCUCUUUCGGGUGUGACGAUGAUGACGGUAACACCUAAAGAAGCCCCGGCAAACUUCGUGCCAGCCGCUGC
rnacentral:rRNA from 1 species